UGGACCAUCCCCUUCUUACAAACCAUGGUGGAAGAUAACCACGCUGGUUAUGCUGAAGCAUCUCUCUGUCACACCAUGAACUGAAAAGGACAACACAAUGAAGAGCACAGCUUGGCAACCAUAUUGAGACAGGCAUGCGGCCUGUUCUGAAGAAAGCUGACCACAAAUGAUGCCUUAACUAAGAGACAUUUUAAGUAACUAACAAGUCUGUGUGCCACUUGAAACUACACAUCAACAUUUAUCAGGUUGUAUGGUUGCCAAUAUUCAAAUGUACAAUGCAUAUUGUUAUUAUUUAUGAAUAUUAUCAACAAUACAUUGUUUAAAUUGUAA